UACGUAGGGUGCGAGCGUUGCCCGGAUUUAUUGGGCGUAAAGGGCGCGUAGGCGGCUACGCACGUCCGUUGUGAAAUCGCUCGGCUCAACUGGGCGGGGUCAGCGGAUACGGUGUAGCUGGAGCAAGCUAGGGGGCAAUGGAAUUCCCGGUGUAGUGGUGGAAUGCGUAGAUAUCGCUUGGAACGCCAACGGUGAAAACAGGUUGCUGGGGGUGUGCUGACGCUGAGACACGAAAGCCAGGGGAGCGAACGGG
rnacentral:rRNA from 1 species